GAAGUUAAACUUGUUGGAACUCGAGAUAAAAUCAGGGGCAUAAGUAUAGAUCUGUUUUGAUCAGGUUCUAUAGACAUUCAAAUAUGUUGGAAGAAAAUGUACUACUUUUAAAGAUACAUUGCUCGUUGUAAAUGAAUUAUUAAAUUCUAGAUAUGAACUUGAUGAGAGCUCUACCAUGCUCAACUCAUUCAGUAUGUUAUCUCUUAAACAACUGAAGAAAAGAAUAUCUUUGCGAUACAGAUAUAAUUUACCACUCCUCAGAGGAGUCUACCACUAGUGAACCUAGUGCCAGGAUAACUGCUAGAAAUAGUCUCUGUAAGAAAAGUCCUGGCAUACUUCAUAAAUCUACUCAGACAUCCAAUCACUGCAAAGUUGUCAUGAUAAAAGAAUUGACUGAAAUGAAUUUUGGUGAUUCACUGAU
rnacentral:lncRNA from 1 species